rnacentral:rRNA from 1 species
UGAGUAACACGUAUCCAACCUGCCGUCUACUCUUGACAGCCUUCUGAAAGGAAGAUUAAUACAAGAUGGCAUCAUGAGUCCGCAUGUUCACAUGAUUAAAGGUAUUCCGGUAGACGAUGGGGAUGCGUUCCAUUAGAUAGUAGGCGGGGUAACGGCCCACCAGCUCGAUGGAUAGGGGUUCUGAGAGGAAGGUCCCCCACAUUGGAACUGAGACACGGCCAA